rnacentral:rRNA from 1 species
CACCUACGGGUGGCUGCAGUGGGGAAUCUUGCGCAAUGGGCGAAAGCCUGACGCAGCCAUGCCGCGUGAAUGAUGAAGGUCUUAGGAUUGUAAAAUUCUUUCACCGGGGACGAUAAUGACGGUACCCGGAGAAGAAGCCCCGGCUAACUUCGUGCCAGCAGCCGCGGUAAUACGAAGGGGGCUAGCGUUGCUCGGAAUUACUGGGCGUAAAGGGCGCGGAGGCGGAUCGUUUAGUCAGAGGUGAAAUCCCAGGGCUCAACCCUGGAAUUGCCUUUGAUACUGGCGAUCUUGAGUGUGAGAGAGGUAUGUGGAACUCCGGGUGUAGAGGUGAAAUUCGUAGAUAUUCGGAAGAACACCAGUGGCGAAGGCGACAUACUGGCUCAUUACUGACGCUGAGGCGCGAAAGCGUGGGGAGCAAACAGGAUUAGAUACCCGGGUAGUCAGA